AGUGUGGCACGGAGCUGAUGAGCGCAACCAACCCAUCGUGCUCUGCUCUCGGGGUAGGGGUGGGAACACCCCCUGCCGCCCCUCCUGCACCGCCGGUGGGGCAGUAGCGCUGCGUCCACCCCACACCUGUACCCGCGGUGGGGCGCGACCCCCUCCCUCACUACCAGGGAGAGGAUACAGUACCGCAGGGGGGGCACACAGCUCCCGCCCACCCCGAGGGGACGCGGCAGCUCUUCCCUCAGCUCCUCCGCCGCCGCCGGUCCCGGUCCCCCUCUGCUGCCGCCGGGCGUCCACCCCAUGGCUGCGGGACGGGCCGGGGCCGUGCCUCCACCCCCGCUGCUGCUGCUGCUGCUUGCGCUGCCCGGCCCGGGGCCGGCAGGUGAGAACACGGAGUUGCCUCCCUUCUCUGCAACAGGAGGACAGCACCCCGCCCCAGAGGAUACGGUGUCACCAGUUCUCAGUGCUACAGUCAUAAUCAUUGUCACCGUCGUCAUAUCUGGGAGUGCUUACCUGUGCUUCCUGAAAUACAUCUGCUCUGGAUGCUGCAAAGCUACCCAGGUGGUACCUACCAGAAGACUCGAUCCUAGCAGGUCUGAAGAACAAGUCUAGCCUCACCUCAACAUCCUAUCGGGUGAUUAUUGAGCUGUGCUAAGGCACUGCUGUAACUAUGAAAUAUCAGAAAGCAAAGGAGACUGCUAUUCAAUCAAGUUAUUCUUGAAAUCUGCUAUUUGUAAGUUAGUUGUAGGAUUCUGUAUUUAAGCUGUGUCAGAGAGGCAGGAGGGAAUAAAGUAGUACUUAGUUCUGCUGUGCUGAGUGUAAUGAUAAGGUGAUAUUUUCGAACUGGAUCUUGAUCUGUUGUCCCAGGACAACGCAGUACUCAACCUAGAACACAUAAGAUGGAACAUUCAGAAUUUCUCAUGGAUGAUGGCAGCACUGAGGGACAUUGUUUAAUGGGCAUGGUGGUGAUGGGUUGAUGGUUGGACUUCAUAAUCUGAGAGGUCUUUUCCAACCUUAAUGAUUCUAUGUUUGGCUUGUUCUGUUCUAUGUUUGUUCUACUUAAUAUGAAGGAUUUCCCACACUGUUUCCUUUGUACACGUAGUUGGUUCUUCCUAGGUAUAAGGAAUCUUCUUCAGAAGUUUUCUGGUGAAUUGCUAAUAUAGGUCACAUUUUCCAGCACUAUUUGGCACUUUGAAAAUGUCUUUCAUCCUCUGAUAAAAUAAGGUUCAAUGCACUUUCCUUGAUACUGCUCUGCUUUCGUAUCUGAUAAUGAACACAGAAUUCCAGAGAUCUGCCAUUGCUAUCAAACAUUCUCUAUAGGUGCAGUGAGAGAGAAAGAGAACAGGGCUGGAUACCUUGAGAGUGUCUGAAUUUGGCAAACACAAACUGGACAAACUUUUAGAGCUCCAAAGUCCAGACUUUGGUCUCCAUAUACAGGUAUCUGAAUGACACACUACAGUUUGCAAUAUAUCAGAGGGCAAAAUAGAUGAUCUAGUGAUCCUCUGACAUUAAAUAUGUGCCAGCAAGUACUCACAUUUCUGGCAGCAAUAGCUCUCUAAAAGUCCAUGUGUUGCUUUUUCCAUGCUGUGGAAACAUUCCUGAUUUGCCUUGUGACCAAGCUGCUACUGGGCAUCUAUCUGCACCACAACUAUAUUGAACACUUUGUAAAGUUCUCAGCUGAUAACAUUAUGGCUAUGCAAGUGCUAUUCCUCCAAUUACAUGUUCUAUCCAGUUAAGUGAAUGCUUGAAACACGUUAGCUGGGGUCGGGGUGGAAGGAUGAAAUAGAAAAUGAAUGUGAAGUUUUUUGACAGCUGAGAAAAUGGUGUUCAGAAAAAUAUACCAGUGGAAUGAUUCUUCUUGAUGCAUGUCAGCUUCAGUUGAACAGGGAAGCACUGAAAAACUUUUUUGGAAGAAAAAGGAAAUUUUGGGAUUUGCCAUGCUGAUCCAAAAGGAAAAAGAAGUAUAGAUAAAUAAAGGUAAACAUUCAGAGAUGGCAUGGCAUCAAGUCUUUGAAAUGUGUGUUGUUUACCGUUAGCAUGACCACUUCCCAGUUAAAACAAAACCUGAACACUUGUGGCCUUUGUUUUUACAAUAAGAAGCUCAAAAAAAAAAAAAAAAAAAAAAAAAGGGAUAAUUGAAAUACUCAUGAGGAAAAUCUGAAAGAGAAAACAGCUCUCGGUUUUACAAAUCUGCAUGUGUGGGAUAAGCCACUUCAUAGUUUCUGAAGAGUUGAGUUGCCAACACUGGAUGCCAGGCAGGUUUUGGACCUAAUCUACGUCCUUUGGGCAUCCAGCGCUCCUAAUCCCAACUGUGAAGAUGAAAUACAAGAGCCAGAACCAAUGUUAUUGUGGGGGAGAGCCAACAAAAAACAAUGCAGGCCUGCGUUCAGAUCUGGAUAUCGUUGCAUGGAUAAAAUGCGUUAUAUUUAUUCAGAUUGCACCUGCUAUAUCAGCAGUAUUUACAUUCAAAUUAAUGGUCAUUUAUUGUGCCGAGUCAACAGUGCAUAUUGUGGUUUGUCUCUUAAAUCUCCAUGUAUCUCAGUAGCUGUGUGUAGAUACGUCACUAAUAGUAAGCAAGAGCUGUUUUGUACCAGAUGAAGACUGACCUUGAGAAAUCUACUUCACAGCUGUGCAUACUGGUGAAGAAAACAAAAUAAAUCUUGAUUUCUCUUUCUUUGUGUAAAA